rnacentral:rRNA from 1 species
ACGGAGGGUGCAAGCGUUAUUCGGAAUUACUGGGCGUAAAGCGCAUGUAGGCGGCUUCGCAAGUCUGGUGUGAAAUCCCACGGCUCAACCCGGGAACUGCCUUUGAAACUGCAAAGCUUGAGUCCUGGAGAGGGUGGCGGAAUUCCUGGUGUAGGAGUGAAAUCCGUAGAUAUCAGGAGGAACACCGGUGGCGAAGGCGGCCACCUGGACAGGUAUUGACGCUGAGGUGCGAAAGUGUGGGGAGCAAACAG